rnacentral:tRNA from 1 species
AAGGGAUGUCUUGCAACAAAAAGAAC